UACGGGGGGGGCAAGCGUUGUUCGGAAUUACUGGGCGUAAAGGGGUCGUAGGUGGCCAACUAAGUCAGACGUGAAAUCCCUCAGCUUAACUGGGGAACUGCGUCUGAGACUGGAUGGCUUGAGUGCAGGAGAGGAACGCGGAAUUCCAGGCGUAGCGGUGAAAUGCGUAGAUAUCUGGAGGAACACCGGUGGCGAAGGCGGCGUUCUGGACUGCAACUGACACUGAGGAACGAAAGCCAGGGGAGCAAACGGG
rnacentral:rRNA from 1 species